CAGUAGCCGCGGGAAUACGAAGGGUGCAAGCGUUACUCGGAAUUACUGGGCGUAAAGCGUGCGUAGGUGGUGGUUUAAGUCCGUUGUGAAAGCCCUGGGCUCAACCUGGGAAUUGCAGUGGAUACUGGGUCACUAGAGUGUGGUAGAGGAUAGUGGAAUUUCCGGUGUAGCAGUGAAAUGCGUAGAGAUCGGAAGGAACAUCUGUGGCGAAGGCGACUAUCUGGGCCAACACUGACACUGAGGCACGAAAGCGUGGGGAGCAAACAGGAUUAGAGACCCCGGUAGUCCCUGUCUCUUAUAC
rnacentral:rRNA from 1 species